rnacentral:rRNA from 1 species
GACGAACGCUGGCGGCGUGCUUAACACAUGCAAGUCGAACGGAAAGGCCCUGCUUUUGUGGGGUGCUCGAGUGGCGAACGGGUGAGUAACACGUGAGUAACCUGCCCUUGACUUUGGGAUAACUUCAGGAAACUGGGGCUAAUACCGGAUAGGAGCUCCUGCUGCAUGGUGGGGGUUGGAAAGUUUCGGCGGUUGGGGAUGGACUCGCGGCUUAUCAGCUUGUUGGUGGGGUAGUGGCUUACCAAGGCUUUGACGGGUAGCCGGCCUGGGGGGGUGACCGGCCUAAUGGGGAUGAAGUUGCGGCCGAGACACCGCCGGGGGGAAAGAUGGGGAAAUUUGUGCGAAGGGGGGGAAACCUGAUUGGCGAACGCCGCCUGCGGGAUUUCGGCCUUCGGGUGGAAAACCAGUUUCCCCUUUGGGGAAGCGGGGGGGAGGUGAAUAGUUAAAGAAGCACCGGUGAACUGAGU